GACUCCAUUGGCCGGAGUUUCCCGGAGCGCGGCCAAUGACAGCGAGAACAGAGGAAGCCAGCGGCCAAUGGGCGGCGCCGCAGGGGGCGGGAGCAGGGAGACAAGGAAAUUCUGUCACCGCGGUUAACACGCACGUGGAGGUUUGUUAAAGAACUCAGCCAGGCGUUUGUUUUCAGUCGCACCAUCCACGCGAGAGGAAGAGAGAAAUACACCCCCGUCUUCCACCUGCCAGUGAAGCGAUGAGAUGCCGGGCUGAUGGGCUCAUUAAGAGGCUUCUGUGUCAGAGUUGGUCUGGUAUCACUCAGAGGACUUAAGUAUGGGUAGGACGGGGCUUCCUGCCUGAUCACGAAGAAGUGAUGGAGACAGAGAACCUGUGAUCCGUCUGAGGUCCGGCUCCCUUUUAUUUCUCCGGCGGAAGUGGGUGAGGGUGGACUGGCGUGAAGGAAGAGCUGUUUACUUGCAAAUGCAGCCGCUGGCGACAAAGGAAAGAGUAAGGGAGUGGAUAGCUCCAAAGGAGCCUUGGCGCUCCUGCACGGAACAGCGACCCUGGGUGCAGUGCACCCUUCAAGUCAUUACUACCCUGGACUCAAACUGUUUGGAGACCUGGCUGGGCUCUGAGUGAGCCUUCAGUUAGGAAGCCACAGCAGAAUCUACUGAAGCAAGCUGCAGACUGCUGGCGCUUGACGUUGCACCAUUUCAAUUUGGUUUCAUUUUCCUCCCCAGCUGGCUCUUGAAAUACACCUCUAGAUUGCAAGCCGAUGUUUGUAUCUCUCCUAGGAUCACUCAGAGUUUUGUGGCCCCUGGGCAACCAAAACAGAGAGGAUCUCGCUCCCCGCCAUUGCAGAAUUAUACCCUGAGAUUAACCAUAAAAGGGAGAAGAGAAGCAUUUCCCGUUGGUGUCUGGAAAUGAGAAGUGGUUAAGAAAUGGCGCAGAUAGUAACUACAAGACUCUGAUCAAAGUACUUUAGAAUCACAUUAAUUUGGAACUUUAUAUUUAAAAUGUGUAAUUUGGACAUAAAUUGUGCUUUCCUUCAUAUUAUUCAAAGCAAGGCUAAACAGUUGUAUGAAGACUGCAAAAGGACUCCUACUGUUUUAUACCACGUCCACCAUUUUAAUUGCACCGUUUGCUUUUUCUUUAUCCUCACUCGAGAACAUGCUUAUUGAUUUUCUUAGAGGGGAAGGGGGAGGGAGGGAGAGAAACAUCAAUGUGAGAGAGAAACAUCGAUCAGUUGCUUUCCUGUACACACCCUCGACAGUGACUGAACCCGCAACCUACGAUGUACAGACAACGCUCCAACCGAGCCACAGGGGCCGGGGAUGUACACCUGGCUUUUAACAGCAGUUUACAUCCAGUCACUGGAACCUACAUUUAGCAACAUUGGUAAGUGGGAUUACUGCAUACUCUUGAAAAAGAAGGUGUCAUUUCUUUCAGAGUUCUAUCAUUCAGGUUGGCUAAGACUUUCCCAACAGAGAUUUCACCUCGGCUGGUGAAACUUUACAAGGAUUUACUAUACAGGCAUGAGUAGCUCUCAGGUUUCAAGGAAAACUUCCAAGGUCAUCCAACAAGCCGUCCAGUGUCUGAUGGGACCACAGUCUUUCCUUUCUCUAUACGGGAAGCCAGUUUAAUUCUAAGACCAGCAGAAGCAUCCCGAGUAUCCCAGCUCUUGAUAUACAGAUAGAUCAGUGGUUCUCCACCUUCUGGCCCUUUAAAUACAGUUCCUCAUGUUGUGGCCCAACCAUAAAAUUAUUUUCGUUGCUACUUCAUAACUGUCAUGUUGCUACUGUUAUGAAUCGUCAUGUA